AAUUUCAAAAGGCUCCACCUCCAAAAACCAUCACACUGGCGGUGAGGAUUUCAACAUAUGCAUUGGGAGGGGAGGGAUGCACACAUUUAGUCCAUUGGCCCUUCUCACAAAAACUACAAUUUGCUUGAAUUAAUGCCAUACUCAAGGCCUAUGUCGCAAGGGAUCUGAGAAUACAGAGGAGGCAAGUCAACAAAAGAAGAGUCAGGGGAAGUAUCACAGAUGAAGAGGCAUCUGAGCUCAGUGUUAUGGAAUGAAGGAAAUCAACACUCAGAGAAAAGGGGAAAGCAUGAAUGCAGUCCCCCACUACCACAAAUCAUGCAGUCGAGUUUCGCACUUUUGGGGAAAUCACAGGGGUCAGCACACCCAGAGUGCAAUGGAUAAACCUCGCCCUGGGAAAACCACCUUCGUGAUCAUGUUAUCUCCCCUGCCAGAAAAUGUUCCCAAUCUCUGGGCCACACUAUUGAAUGAGAAGAGACCAGGUGGAGAGAGAGGCUCAGCCAGACAUCAGCCAUUACAGCUUCACACUAGCUAGACGUGCGAAUAAAGCCCCCUUGGAUGGUCCAGCCACAGCCAAGCUCUCAGCUAAAUGCAGCCACCUAAGCGACUCCUGACAAUACAAUGUAGAGCAGAGACAAGCCAUCUCAUUGAACCCCAUCAAAACUGCAGGCUCAUGAUCAAAUAAAUGGUUGUGUUUAAGUCACUAAGUUGGGAGUGUUUUAAACUCAGCAAUAGAUGACGGGAAUAACUUCCGUGGCAGAGGCCCCAGGAUAGGAGCUCCCAGGCAUGGAACCAAAAGGGAGAAGGGCUUUUUAUAGGGGUGACAGCAAAGGAAGAGUUGGGAUAAAAGGCAAGGGCAAGAAUAUACAGUAGCCAAGACCCAAAAAGGUAUUUAGAUGAGAACGUUGCUCCUCGUGUUAACAAGGAACUCUCCUAGUAUGUAUAUUGAAAGUAGGGUUGUAUCAGAGAGUAGAUGGCUGCAGUGAAAAGGACAAAAGCCCCAAAACAAAUCCCAGGAAACAUCCAGGUUCUGCCUCAAAUUAGCUUUGGUAAGAUACUUAUACUCUUAGCUGUUCCGUGUCCUCAUCUAUAAAACAGGGACAAUACAACCUACCUCCCAGAUUUAAAAAUAUUAGACAUAAAAGUAUGCAGUCCUUAGCAUAGCACUGGACAAAUGGUAGGCAUACCACCUUGUCUGUGUUUCAGUCUUUCCAAAAGAUGUAAUGCCUAUCCUAUUUGAAAGGCUUAUUCAUAAGUUCAAAUUUGCUAGGCGCCGUGGCUCACGCCUUUAAUCUCCACAUGUUGGGAGGCCAAAGAGGAAGGCUCAAUUGAGCCCAGGAGUUCAGAUUCAAUAAAACACACAAAAAUGGUUUGAAAGGUAUUAAGCCCUACCAAAUAAUACGAUUGCAAUAUAUUAAAAUACAAUUUUUAUUGUUGGGGGCUGCAUGGCAACUUUGUAAAACUUAAGUAUAUCUGCAUAAUUGUUUUUAUAUAGUUACUGUUAAAGUUACCAGCAUCAGUUGUUUAUUCUAGUUAUUCAUCUCCAUCUUCAGAAAGGAAGGUCAGCACAGGAU
rnacentral:lncRNA from 1 species